rnacentral:lncRNA from 1 species
GAAUGUGCUCGCUCCAAAUGUCAAGCAAACAAGGAUUCGUAUAUAAAUUUAAUUAAUUAAUUAAUUUCAAUUAGGUUAUAUUAAUUACAUCUUAAUGACAACUAUAAACUUAUAGAAAAACAGGUAAUAUAUUGGGGAAAAAAAACAAAUUACAUUCUACAGACAGCUCUCUAUGUUUAUAUAAGUAAAUAAAAACAUUGUAAAAAUAUGUACAUCAAGUAUAUCCCAAUUUAUCGAAUUUACCUACAUCCAAAAAAAUUAAAUGAUGAAAAACAUCAUACACAACCAUGGCCACCACCGUCGCAAGUGCAACCACCGUUGCCGGAGAUAAUAUCACCACCUUGAUGCGGUUUGGUGCUUAGGCAACAACAUAGAAGAGCCACCAGCAACAUGAAUCCCCAUACUGAAGCCAAAGCUUGUACCCAACUCAAGUAUUUCUCCAUUCACUUUUUCUCCUACGUCUGAUUUUGAUCUUCAGCUUCAUUCAUUAUAUAUAAUAUAUAUACCAGAAUUAAUUAUUAAUAAUAUGAUAGAUCUUUACUCUUUAGGGAAAAGAGAAUAAUGGGAUCAUUUUGGUGAGAUAUGGUGUGGCACAUGCUGUGAGCUUGAAAGAGUGCAAAACAACAAGGGGCCAACCUGGGAUUUUUAUGGUCACGCCUUAGCGGAGCUAAUGCUCUUCCACCUCUUGUAAUCCUUUAAAGGCUAAAUCAAAGAGUAAUAAAUUAUUAUUUUAUGUGGCAUAAAUGCUUCCGAAUCUUUUAGUUGUUGUUUUUAUAAAGAUAAUUGUCAAUUGUCACUUUGAAGACUAAGUGUUACAAAAAUAUAAAAUAAAAAGGUUUAAUAUUUU